AGCGCUUUGCUUCGGAACUGUUUGGUGGGGUGGUGACCCUGGGCCCGAGUCAGGCAGCUUGCUCUGAAAUACCUUUAAAUAAAGAAAGAGAAACUGAGACUACACUUCCAUAAAAGGGCCGUCUUGCUCUUCCUUCCACCUUCAACCAACACACUUCUGCCUCCACCCUUGCAUCAGCACACUUGUGGGAUUGAGUGUGUGGUGAGACAGGGCUGCUGUAGUUCCGUUGUUUGCGAUGUGCUUGCACUGUUCUUCAUGAGAGGUGGGAGGUGACUGAGGAGCUGACCUGGCUGACAACUAAGUGAGCGAUGUAGUUCGGUGAUACAUCUCUGGUCAACCUGCUUGUGUCUGUGCACUUCUCUCGUGCCAGCUCUGGUGCUCUGAACUGUUUAUACCAUAAAACUAUUUUGGGAAGGUUAGUAAUGCCUGACACAAUGUUAAUAAAGAUCAAGGAAUAUUUCACAGUCUUUUAAAGUCCUCACCUUUUCAGCAUCUGGGAUCUUUAAAAAUGU